AAGAAUUAAAUGCUGUAAGGAAAACACUUGUGAUCACUUAUGUGUUCUGCUGGAUCUUACAGGAGGAAGAGCACGAUUACUGUGCUACAACCAUGUUCUCACACGAUCUGGCUGUUUUCUGAGAUCUGCAACAUACUGUGCAAAAGGGACCUCCAGAACUCUUAUGCCCUGGUAAGGAUUAAAUGUGCAGACAAAAUGUGUGAGCAGCAGACAAGAUUGCAUUGUAACAAGCUGUUCUCCAAGGACAUUCUUCCA